rnacentral:rRNA from 2 species
UCGAGGGGUAGCAGAAUUAAGCUUGCUUAAUUGCUGACGACCGGCGCACGGGUGCGUAACGCGUAUGCAACCUACCUUAUACUGGGGUAUAGCCCGGAGAAAUUCGGAUUAAUCCCCCAUAGUACUAUUUAACCGCAUGGUUAGAUAGUUAAAGCAUUGCGGUAUAAGAUGGGCAUGCGUCCUAUUAGCUAGAUGGUGAGGUAACGGCUCACCGUGGCUACGAUAGGUAGGGGGCCUGAGAGGGUGGUCCCCCACACUGGUACUGAGACACGGACCAGACUCC